rnacentral:rRNA from 1 species
ACUCAAAUGAAUAGACGGGGGCCCGCACAAGCGGUGGAGCAUGUGGUUUAAUUCGACGCAACGCGAAGAACCUUACCUAGGCUUGACAUGUAUAGAAGUCCUUGGAAACUUGGAUGUGCUCGCAAGAGAGCUAUAACACAGGUGCUGCAUGGCUGUCGUCAGCUCGUGUCGUGAGAUGUUGGGUUAAGUCCCGCAACGAGCGCAACCCUUGUCGUUAGUUGCCAGCAUUUAGUUGGGAACUCUAACGAGACUGCCGUGGUUAACACGGAGGAAGGUGGGGAUGACGUCAAGUCCUCAUGGCCUUUAUGCUUAGGGCUACACACGUGCUACAAUGCGUACUACAGAGGGCUGCGAAACCGCGAGGUGAAGCCAAUCCCACAAAAGUGCGCUAAGUUCAGAUUGGAGUCUGCAACUCGACUCCAUGAAGCUGGAAUCGCUAGUAAUCGCGGAUCAGAACGCCGCGGUGAAUACGUUCCCGGGCCUUGUACACACCGCCCGU